CCCUUUCCCUCAGCCUCCCGGGAGCGUGACGCGGCGGCCCGGGGGCCUCCGGGCGCCUUCCGGGGCACGCGGGAUCGACAUGCACUUGGAUCAUUGCAGUUUCUGGGCCUGCUGUCAUCUCCCCCUUCAGUACUUCCCACAUAUGACUACCAACUGUUAGACGAUGUGCUGCUGCCAGACCAGCCUUUCAUUUCUUGGACAUCCGGCUAUUUACCCAGGAAAAGUCAUCCUUUGACUAUUUUUCAUGACCUUUCUCAUCUGACUCGUGAUCUGCCCAUCUUGUUACUCCCUAGCAGUGUGGUAAGCCAAAUUCAUUCUCCCAAGAAGACAAGGAUCGAGGACUGUGGAGCCAACUCAGACUCGCCACGGCUAACAAUGUUUCCUGGGAUCGCCUCCCAAAUAAACUGCUUGUACUUGAACCCUUGUCUCAGAGUUGACUACUGGAAGAACCCCAGAUAAGACAAUCUGCGAGUAGACAUGUCAGAUAAUGCAGUUAGAUAUGAAUCUGGAAUUCAGAGGAGAGGCUCAUGCAAUUUGCAAGUCAUCAUCAAAAAGAUGUCAUUUGUUCU
ensembl:lncRNA novel transcript